rnacentral:ncRNA from 1 species
UGUCUCCACUAUUCUCCUCCAAGAAAAUAGUUUUAAGCCCGCUCCCAGACAGCGGGCUUUUUUUU